GUCGGGAGGGCGACGAAUAGAAGACCCCGCAAGGGGGAAUAAGUCCGCGGUUGUUGUAGCCGUUUCGAACCUCCCGACACCCCUAC
rnacentral:ncRNA from 1 species